rnacentral:rRNA from 1 species
AACAAGGAUUCCCUUAGUAACUGCGAGUGAAGAGGGAAAAGCUCAAAUUUAAAAUCUGGCAGUGUUUCAUUGUCCGAGUUGUAACCUAGAGAAGUGUAACCUGUGCUGGACCGUGUACAAGUCUCCUGGAAUGGAGCAUCACAGAGGGUGAGAAUCCCGUCUUUGACACGGACUACCAGUGCAUUGUGGUUGUGCUCUCAACGAGUCGAGUUGUUUGGGAAUGCAGCUCUAAAUGGGUGGUAAAUUCCAUCUAAAGCUAAAUAUUGGCGAGAGACCGAUAGCGAACAAGUACCGUGAGGGAAAGAUGAAAAGAACUUUGGAAAGAGAGUUAAACAGUAUGUGAAAUUGUUGAAAGGGAAACGUUUGAAGUCAGUCGUGUUGGCUGGGGAUCAACCUGACUUAUUGUUAGGUGUAUUUCCUGGUUGACGGGCCAACAUCAGUUUUGACUGCCAGAAAAAGGCCAAGGGAAUGUGGCACCUUUGGGUGUGUUAUAGCUUUUGGUCGUAUGUGGUGGUUGGGACUGAGGACAGCAGUGCGCCGCAAUGGCAGGGUUUCGACCACAUUCGCACUGAGGAUGUUGGCAUAAUGGCUUUAAGCGACCCGUCUUGAAACACGGACCAAGGAGUCUAACAUGCAUGCGAGUGUUUGGGUGGAAAACCCUUACGCGUAAUGAAAGUGAAAGUUGAGAUCCCUGUCGUGGGGAGCAUCGACGCCCGGACCAGAACUUUUGGGACGGAUCUGCGGUAGAGCACGUAUGUUGGGACCCGAAAGAUGGUGAACUAUGCCUGAAUAGGGUGAAGCCAGAGGAAACUCUGGUGGAGGCUCGUAGCGAUUCUGACGUGCAAAUCGAUCGUCAAAUUUGGGUAUAGGGGCGAAAGACUAAUCGAACCA